rnacentral:rRNA from 1 species
GGUGAACGCUGGCGGCGUGCUUAAGACAUGCAAGUCGAACGCAGUCUUCGGACUGAGUGGCGCACGGGUGAGUAACACGUAACUGACCUACCCCCAAGUCGCGGAUAACUGGCCGAAAGGUCAGCUAAUACGUGAUGUGAUGUCCCCUUUCUGGGGGGCCAUUAAAGGUUUACUGCUUGGGGAUGGGGUUGCGUUCCAUCAGCUAGUUGGCGGGGUAAAGGCCCACCAAGGCAACGACGGAUAGCCGGCCUGAGAGGGUGGCCGGCCACAGGGGCACUGAGACACGGGUCCCACUCCUACGGGAGGCAGCAGUUAGGAAUCUUCCACAAUGGGCGAAAGCCUGAUGGAGCGACGCCGCGUGAGGGAUGAAGGUUCUCGGAUCGUAAACCUCUGAAUCAGGGACGAAAGACGCGUAAGCGGGAUGACGGUACCUGAGUAAUAGCACCGGCUAACUCCGUGCCAGCCGCCGCCGUAAGAC